CCAGCUCAGUCUGCACUAUGCCAGAUCAUGAUCCCGAGACGGAGAGAUGCCGGCGUACAGCCAAGGUUAGACAGUUCGUGGCGGCAUUUGUGGCGAGCUUAUUGGGCUUCACUGGUGGAUCGGUCUUGGGAUGGACGUCACCCAUGCAACCCUUGCUGAUGUCUCCAGAUCCACCUGUCGGUACCGACCCCAUGACAGAGGACAACGUCGCUUGGCUCGGCUCCAUAAACUUUGUUGGCACGUUCCUCGGGUCUUUCUUCUGGGGCAUCGUAGCUGACAGCUGGGGCAGAAAGAAGACUGCGUGUUUAGUCGCCAUACCCUUCAUUCUGCACUGGAUAUUAACGAUGGUUGCCAAGAAUUUCUAUUGGCUGAUAAUAGCGAGACUUAUUGCCGGUAUUGGGAACAAUGGUGCUGUGGCAUCUGUACCGGCAUUCAUUUCCGAAAUGGCACAAGACGAUCUCCGUGGCUUUUUUGGAUCGUUUUAUGUGAUAUUUAUAAACAUUGGAAUGAUGUAUUCCUAUGUUAUAGGAACUUACUUUCAUUAUUAUGGUUUGUCCAUUGCAUGUAUUGUUAUACCGUUAAUUUUUUUGCUCAGCUUUAUUUGGAUACCUGAAUCUCCGAUAUUCCUUUUCAAUAAUGGACAAACUGCUAAUGCAGAAAAGUCACUUUUCUGGUAUAAAGGAGGAGAUGCAGUCGAAGCGGAGAAGGUUUUGUCAACUUACAAACACGAACCUAAUAGUAAAAAUAAUAAAUUGUCUGUUAUGUCAUUAUUUGCUACUAGAGGAACCACAAAGGCUUUCAUUCUUGGAUUAGCUCUGAUGAUUUCCUUACAAAUCUGUGGAAUCACGGCAAUUAUGAGCUUCGCUGUCAGUAUAUUUGAGAUGUGUGGUACAUCUCUAACUCCUUACCAUUCUGCUUUGUUACUGGGUUCAAUGCAAGUUGUGUUUACUUGUUCUUCUUCAUUUCUAGUCGAUAGAUUAGGAAGAAAGUUUUUGUUGGUGACUUCUAUGAUGGUCAUGGCCUUUUCCUUAGCGGUAUUAGGAACUUAUCUUUUCUUUUUACAUGGCCAGUCUGUAGACUCGGUGUUCAGGUGGACACCUGUUGUUUCUCUGUCUGUGUGUGUAAGUGCUUUUGCGAUCGGCGUGUCACCAGUUACUUUUAUAAUCAUGGGAGAAAUAUUUCCUACCUACAUAAAAAGUUAUGCAAUCGCCAAACUUCUAAUGGUUUUAGGCACCACAGCCUUUAUUUUCGUAAAGUGUUUCCCUAUAAUGAAAUCUUUAUUGAAGCCGCACGGGCUGUUCUGGUUGUACGCUGUUUCCUCUUUAGCAUUUUCAAUAUUUUUCUAUUACCAUCUUCCUGAAACAAAAGGAAAGUCUUUAAGUGAAAUUUUGAGAAUAUUAAAUAAUAAAGGGUUUGAAGACAAUCUUACUGAAGAAAAGGGAACUACUGAACAUAUUCAACUACAAUAGAUUUCUUCUUUGUAGAUUUUUAUUCUUUCCUUUACAAAUAUUAAUCUAUUUGAAAUUAUAGAAAAAGGUUACCAAAAUAUUUUUAGUUGUUGACAGCGUACAUUUGUUGUCAACUUUCGCAUUCUUUAUUAUUUUUCCUAGAUGCUAUUAAUACUGCUGUAAUCCCUUACCAACCAUUAUGCUUGCUUCAAUACAUUAUUUCUUGGCCUUAUAUUUAGGAGUUUUUAGCAGCGCCUUUUGAGACUCUAUUGUAUAUAAAACUUAUGGUUUCAAUAGGCCUACUCUUUAACAAAUCUAUUUUAAAAAAUUAACGAACUAAAAAUUUGAAAUUAAACAUCAAUAAAUAAUACUGCCUAUAGUUAAAAGUAAAACACAGAGUGGGAGCCGUAAAACAAUAUGGCACUAUGUCUUCCACUCUGUUUACCAUCAAUUUCAAAAGAGCUGAAUUUGUUUAGUCCAUUAGGACAAAUUUAUUUUGCAUUAAUACAGAAAGCCAUAUGCAGAGUUUUAGUAGAUAAAUUUCUAUUUAUUACCUUUAAAUGGUUCCUGAUUCAAAAUUUAUUCUUUUGGAUGUUUAUAUGACUCAAAUUAUUUUAAGACGGGUCAAUAUUUCCCUUCUUCUCAAAUUACAUAAUUUACUAAUUCUUUUAAAUUAGAGAAGAAUAUAUACAUAUUGGUGGCCCCAAGCCAUCAAUAGCAUACUCAAGUAUGCAACCAUUGUUGGGAAAAGGGAUAGAGAUUACUACUUUAGAGCGAUCAAGGCCAGGCAGGGGAAAUUCCUUUCUUAGAUGGUUUGGGGGUUUCAUGAGCUAUUUGGACGUAAGUUACUGUAUAAUCACUUCUUCGGACUGAUUGGUGGCAGGUUUAUGUCUAGAAUCUUUUAUGAUCACGACAUAUCAGUAGAAUAUAUUCGUGUAAGAGUUCAGAAGAAUCAUUUUCAACGAUAAAUUCGUUUAUUCUCCCCUAUUUCUAAAUCUGUAAACCAGUAAUUAGAUUUAGUACCAUCUCAAACACUCUUAAGCAAUAAGAUUUCUUAGAAUAUAAUUUUUCUAGUUAGGUUUUAAGUAGCGCAAAAGGAACAUUUAUACUGCUAUAUGAUACAUUCUUGGCUUGACUUGGUUUUAGGAAUGCCUAAUAGAGAUUAAUAGGUUGAUAUAGAUCAAACAUUACACGUUUGAGCAUCAGGCCUUGUUUUAAGUAGAUUUGCCAAUUUAUCAAGGUUAUAGUUUUAUAAAUAGUUAUAGAUAAAUCGUCCAAUAGUACUGAAAACAUUAUUCCGUGCGAAUAGACUCCACCAUCGUGGAAAAAAUAGCAUGAAGCUUGCUUACAUCAUGGAAUAAAUGCAUCAUAUUACAAUCUCCACGGAAAACUUCUGCGGAAUUUUCGUCUUCCAAAAGAAUGUGUAUUACAAGUAUGUUUUAUAGAUAUCUAGGUUUAACAGAUCUAAGGAAAAUUAAGUUUUUAUUUCAAAUCAUUAUAUUUAUUUGUAACUUAUUUUUCUAAUAAUCGCUUGACAAGACUUGUAUUGUAUUACACAACAUGAACAGCCGUACAGUAGAACGUUAUUUCUAUUUUCGUCUUCUAAAAGUAUGUGUAUCACAAGUAUGUUUUAUAUACAUCUAGGUUUAACAGAUCUAAGUAAAGUUAAGUUUUGUUUAAAAUUAUUUUAUUUAUUGGUAACUUAUUUUCUAAUAAUCGCUUGACAACACAUGUAGUGUAUUACAUAACAUGAACAGAUUUACAGUAGAACAGUGUUUAUUAUUUACCAUAUAAUAAAGUAAACAUUUAUAUUAACCAAUCAGAACACAUUGGGAUUUCUUAUAUUUAAAUUACCUUUUGGGAAAAGUUGGAUUACAAUUUAACGAGGAAAAAUCUGAAGGAUGAAAAAGUUCACUGUAUUUUCUUGUGCCAUCGGAGGAAAUGGUCCUGCUUCGGAAAAUAAUCCAAGAUGAUAAAAAGAAUUUGGAAAAUAUAUAUUUAUAAAGUACAUCAGACUUAUUGGUGAAGUUAGGGCUAAGAAGCCCUUUCUGGUACUUGUUCCGGGGACUUCCGAUCACUGCUUGCAAGGACAGGAUCGCUCAGUGGGACCCAUCCAAACAGCAGAUACACUCGAAGUUGCUUGACUCCAUCAUCACAACAGCCGCAUCAAUGCGCCCUUGCCUAACGAUAAACGUUUUUAUUAAAAUAAAAAAAAAUAUUACGGAUGA
rnacentral:misc_RNA from 1 species